CUACAGUUUACAGAAGUGCAAAAUCAACACUAGAAAUUUCCUAAAAAUGUUCGAUCCCAAUGGUUUUCCAAUCAACACCUCGACGUGCAUGCAAGAAGGGGAAAUGCGGUGCGUGGAGGUGAUGCAGUGUGAGUGAGUGCGGAGGGAUGACGGACCUGCACUGGUGAGGCGCAAGGCGACCCUGAAUAAAACUCUAGUUUUCAUCUUCGACUCCCCCUCACUACGGACAAAAUAAUGGUUGAUGCUUCCACUGAGAGUUGAAGUCAGGACCUCCCGCUCACUAAUCGGGUGCUCUAGCCAACUAAGCCCAACUCUGCACCACAGUAAAAUACUAAAGUUUCGGACAAUUCCGCGCUUUUCACGCUUGUUUCGAAUUCUGCACCCUCGGUGGGGCCCCGAGGGCCUGGACUGCAGCACUACUGCUUGUUUGUUCCUGAAAUCCUAACUGUAUUGCUGUCUAUUUACUGUUUUCUGUUGCCACUUGUUGCGUUGUGUUCCAGAUGAUCACUUGCUAAGUUGUAAACUUGACGAUGCUGCCCUGUUUGUUUGUGUGUUAGUGUGUUUGUGUCUCCUAUGGGUGUGGAACUGUAUGUUACUAUGGCUGCUAUAGCGACUGACUCUCUAUUGGAACCCUAAGACGUCGUUUCCGAGCUGGAAUAGUUGUCGUUGUGUGUAGUUUCUUGCUGUCUUGCAUCUUGCUCCAACAGUUGUGUCCAUGUAGCUCUCGUGGCGAACACACCGUCGAUUAAUCGAAAAAGAUCAGAGUCUUCCAUAUCGGUAUGUGCAAGGGCUACAAAAAUUUGCAUGCAAUUUUUUAUGUGGGACCCGUGGCUGUCUUGCUGGACAUGUUGUCGGAGGCGUUGGCGGAUUGUGUGUUGGGGUUAUUCUUGUUCUUGUUGGUUGCGUUGUCUUAGUUCGUCUCUGUAUGCUUCUCUGAUGUUUUCUAUCUCUAUGCAAUACAGGACCUCUUCGCUAUCUGUUCUCCUGAUUCAGUUUGUCCAGAUGUUGGGCGUCGCUGGCGUCCUUGGUACGGGAUUGUUGAAUAGUGCGUCUAUUGCGGUGCGUAGGGCUGGAUGAGGGAUCGGUCGAAGCUCCGGUGCAUUCUGGUGGGGAUGAACGGCUAGCUCUAGCGAGAUGAAUGUCGGUGGUGGGAUCAUUUUCCAAGUGAAUGGUUCUUGAGUGGCGAAUAUGUUGUCCUCGGUCCAGAUCUUCAUGAAUAGCGCUGUUUUUUGUUGAUAUUCAUUGGAAGGUGUAGGAUGGCGAUGUAAUUCUCGCCAUGCUUCGAUCCCAAUAUGUACUGUGGUCCUCCAAGCUUUAUAGAGAACCUGGCCGAUAUGAAAUGAUUCCCGGUCUCUGUCAAAACUGCAUUUGGCACACCAUAUGUUCCAUUUUAUUAGUGACUUGAGUAGGAAUCAUGGCGUUUCGUUGGAGAUGCGGACAGUUGUAGUGAGUGGUUUCUCGUUUUCUAAAAUAGUUGGAUCCAGUUUGUCGUAUAGCCUCUCCUUCCAGUCUUGUAGUUUGCUGCGAGAAGCCAUUCGUCGUAGUGUAUUGUAGCGUGUCCACGCUAGGUGGAUGGCCGGACAGUCCCAGAAUGCAUGUUGGAUGGUUUCGCUUUCUCCUAUGUUGCACAGUUUGCAAGAGGGGUCUAGUUGCAUUACCCUUCGCCAGUGACCCAUUGGGAGGCCUUCCGCGAGGGUGAGCCACUGCAUGGCUGCCACUUUCUUGGGGAGCCAGGGGUGCCAGAGCUUCUUAUAGAAUUAUUGGCAUUGUGUAUCAUUGAAGUUGUGUUGUCGAAGUAUGUGUUUUCUUUUGAGGGGAGCCAUCCGUCCGGUGAUGCCGAGUUGGUAGCUUCGUUGUGAUGUAUAGUUGUAUAUAGAGCUUGGUCUGUGGUGUUAUUGACGCGGCCAUUCCAAUUCCGCUGAGUCGAACGUGAGGGCUUGUAUUGGGCGUUUUCCAGCUAUCCAGGGUGUCUGGGGGCAGCGGACGGGGCUGGUGGGGUUGAAUCCGAUGACUACUUGAUGUUCGUUUUUGAUAGCUAUGCGAACCCUUUGCAGUUCCGUGGUUCCGAUCUGUAGUUGUUCUUCAUAUACCAAUCCUAGUUCUUCUGAGGGAAGGACGACGUAUUUGAUUCCUCGGAGUUUACCCUCUUCUAUUCCGUGAAUGUGAAAUAUUUCUAUUGUAGUGUUUCUGAUGUCGGGCGUCCACCAAUCACGUGAGGAGUAAGGGGGUGCCGAGUUUGGAUUCCAAGGGAUGCAAUCCUGGAGCUGGUAAUGCUGGAGGUCUGCACGCUAGCUUCCCGUUCUCUGUUGGAGGCAGGUGGUUGUGUACCAGUCGCGUCUAUUGUCAUCCCAUUUGUCUAAGAAUGAGUGUACGCCUUUUCUCGAUCAUUGAAUGAAUCGGUCCUUUUUGUCUUAGCCUAACAUUUUCUGCUCAACAUCUACUAUUCUGGGGUUGCCACAGAUCGGUUGGCGAAGGAUUUUGUAUAGUGGUGGAAGAGUUGAUAAGCCGUGUUGUAUGCUGCUCCAUGCUGCACUGGCGCUUCUCCACAAAUCAGAUCCUUGUGGGCAUACUUGUAAGUUGCUUCCUAUCACCCAAUGUUGACUCGGAUAUCACUGUCCGUUUUGUUUGAACCUGAUUGCUUCUAUUCUAUGUCUAACCAUGAUUUUCCAUGGUUCUAGACCAGGAGUAAGCCCCCUAGCAAUCAAUUUUGCUAGAAGUGCCCUAGCUUUUGUGGCGGGGCCAAUUAUCUUGAGUCCUCCUUGUGUCAUUAGUUGGAUUAUCGUGUCCCAUUUGACCUUAGCCCUUACUUUGCCACUUGUUAUCCCACCCCAUAGAUAGUUUCUGAUCAUAGCACGGAUCUGGAUAUAUAUCUUAGUUUCUGGAGCAUGAAACUAGGUACCACAUGGAAGCAAGUAUAACCUGGUUGAUUGCUAGUAAUCUUCCAGCUAGGGACAGCUUUUUGGAUCCCCACUUUACCAGCUGUUUGGUAAUUUGUUGUACUACCUUAUUUCCCCGUUCUUCCGCUGGUAAUCAAAAACCUAUAUGGAAGCCAAAGUACUUGACGGAUUGGCCUGUAGUUUUCCAAAUUAAGUUUAGAUCUUCUCCCCAAUUCCAGCUGCGUUCGUGUUAAGAUGCCCAGAUCGCACAAAUUUUGUACCAGUUGAUCUUUGCCCCAUAGGCUUCACAAAACCGAGUCAGAGCUCGCAUUGCUCUUGUGAGGUUUUCCGGGGAUCCUUUUAGGAACAGUGCAGUGUCAUCUGCGAACAUUUGAUUGUUUAGGGAUGAGUUGUCCGAUAGUGUGAGUCCUUGUACUUGCCAUUUGGGGUCGUCCAGCAUGUACCUCAGGACAUCUGCUACGAAUAAAAAGAGGUAUGGUGCCAAGGGGCAUCCCUGGCAAACCGAUCUCUCUAUUUUGAAUAAGGGGCCAUUUUGUCCAUUCAUCGUGAUCGUGGCUGCAGCUUCCUUGUUGAGGGCCAUGACUAUAUUUAUCCAGGAAUUGGAGAAUCCAAUCUGAGUAAGUGCUGCUUUUGAGAAUCUCCAGUUGAUCCGAUCGUAAGCUUUUUCAAAAUCUAGAAAUUAUUGUUCUCAACCAUUGGGUCUCUGCUGUAGAGGUCUUGGUAGUAUUGUUGUGCAUAUGAGGCCAUAUCUGCUUGUUGCAUUAGAAUUUGAUUGUUGUAGUUGAAUUCGGGAAUGUGGCCUCGUUUGCUUUUCGCAUUGUGAUGUGCAAAAAAUUGAACGUUGCAUCUGUCGUCGACCUGAGACCUACGAAUUGCUCGUAGGGCGGCUAUGAUUUUGAUCGCCCAGGUGUCGAUUGAAUGUUGUUGUAUGGCCUCUUUCCACGCUUGGCUCAACAUAAGUCUGCCCUCCUCGCUAUGUAACUAUCUCUUAUCGAAGAAGGGCUGUCGGGAAAUGGGAGGGCCUUUAUGUUUGAUCUUCAAAAAAAUUGGUGAGUGAUCUUGUCUUAAUGUUUGGUCGGUCUACCAAUUGUGUUAGUAGCCAUCCCAUAUUUCUUCCACCCUAUUGAUCCCAUUGAUGAACUAUGUGCAAAACCUCAAUUUGGCUUCUACUUCCAAGUUGAUGUUAUCGUCUGGGGUGAUUUUUGUUUUCAAGAAUAGAGAUUGUUGCAUCUUUUUGGCAUGUGUUGAUAAGAGCUUUGGUAAGUUUUUUUUGGAUCGUCAACCAAGCCAUCUGUAUUGCUUGCCAAAGGUUUGAGCCUUGAAGUUGUAUUUUGAGGGCCAUGAAUAGCCAACCAAAAUGUUCGCUCCAAUCUUUGUCCAUGCAAAGUUGUGUGUUCUUGAUCUUGUGCAAGAUGAGGGAUUUCCAAGGUUCUUCUUCUAAGACUAGGGCUCUUAAUAUUAUUUUGGCCAAGAAUGCUCUCGUUUGGCCCAGUGGGUUGAAUACCCUAAUCCUGUCUUAGGCUAUCGGGGCAAUUACUGUGUCCUAUGCCACUUUGGCCCUUAUCUUCUUGUCCAGGUGGCUUGUCCAUACAAAGUUCCAAAAAAUGGCUCUUAUCUUUGUUAGGACCUUUUGUUGGAUAAUGCUGCAUGAAGCCAAAUAUCAUAUGCUCUUGAAUACGACCUGAUUUGAUACAAGUAGUCCAAUUGGAAGAGAGUUUCUUGUUUGACCACUGUGCUAGUUUUUCGCAGAUUUGUUGCAUAACUACAUUUUUUUUCAUGAUGGACUAUUUUCAUGCUAGACUAUUUCAUGCCAAAGUAUUUGAUGUAGGUGCCUUGGAGGAGCCACAUGAGGCCCUUGUCCUCCCUCCAGGUCCAUGGUUGUGGAUCUUGUCCUCCCUCCAGUUCCAUGGUUGUGGAUCAUUGUUAAUUCAUAGUGCUCUUGCUUUGUUUCAAUUGACCAAUAAUCUUGAGGUUGCAUAAAAAAGCUCAAGUACCUCAAAAGUGUGUUGUAUGUUAUCUAGGGCUCUUUUGAGGUAGAGGGCCAUGUUCUUUGCAAAGCAUUGGUUGUAGAUUGUGUUGCCAUUUAGGAAACAAAAACCAUCUAUUACAUAGGUGGAGUCAUUUAUCAUGUAUGACAACAUAUCCAAUAUGAAGAGGUAUAAGUAAGGUAUUAAUGGACAUCUUUGUCUAACCAAUCUUUGAAGUGUGAAUUUUUGACUAUUUUGUUCAUUCGUAAGGAUGGUUGAAUGGACAUUUUGGUAGAGUGCCAUUGUCCAUUUCAUCCAUUCUUUCAAAAAUCCCUAUCAUAUUUGUGUGAGGUGGGUGCAAGUUGGUAGCAAUGAUUGGAAUCUAUUGGUGAGGACUUUGGUUGUCAACAUGUAUGUGGUUGUCAGCACCAUAAUAGGGUGGUAAUUCUUUAUGUUUGAUGUUGUUCUUCCUUUUGAUAGGAAGCUAAUUAGCCUGUUAUUGAGGAUUUUGUGAAAGCAUCUUUUGUUAAAAGCAAUGUUGAUGAAUAUAAUGAUGUUUUAGUCCA
rnacentral:lncRNA from 1 species